rnacentral:rRNA from 1 species
GACGAACGCUGGCGGCGUGCUUAACACAUGCAAGUCGAACGGUAAGGCUCCAGCUUGCUGGGGUACACGAGUGGCGAACGGGUGAGUAACACGUGGGUGACCUGCCCUGCACAUCGGGAUAAGCCUGGGAAACUGGGUCUAAUACCGGAUAGGACCAUGGUGUGGAUACUGUGGUGGAAAGUUUUUUCGGUGUGGGAUGGGCCCGCGGCCUAUCAGCUUGUUGGUGGGGUAAUGGCCUACCAAGGCGGCGACGGGUAGCCGGCCUGAGAGGGUGGACGGCCACAUUGGGACUGAGACACGGCCCAGACUCCUACGGGAGGCAGCAGUGGGGAAUAUUGCACAAUGGGCGGAAGCCUGAUGCAGCGACGCCGCGUGGGGGAUGACGGCCUUCGGGUUGUAAACUCCUUUCACCAUCGACGAAGGGUUUCUGACGGUAGAUGGAGAAGAAGCACCGGCUAACUACGUG